CGCGGAUUGGACAAGUAGUCAAGUCGCCAGACUCAUUAUCUGGAGAGCGCCGCGUGCAAAUCCGGCAUCCGCUA
rnacentral:tRNA from 1 species